GAUUCUUUACCAUCUGGGCCAGCGGGGAAGCCCACGAAUUCAGAGGGCUGACUGUAAGGUUAUAAGAUUUUCAACUUGAGUGGGCGUCGGCACCCUAACCACUGCCCAUCCACAUUUGUUCAAGGAUCAGCUGUACACAUCAGGGGAAACGGUAGUGGGUACUUUAUAAAGCAUAAUCAGCUCUUACUUGCUUUUAAAAACUGUUUUUACCUGCACAGAUAUCUUUUGAAACUGGAAUAGCCAGGAAGAAGUCAAGUCUUUGCAGAUUCUCUGUCUUUCUGUCUCAGUCCAGGGGCCCCUAGGACUGUCUGGGACCUAAGAAUGAAGGCUUCCAAAGCUGUUAAUGGUAAUUAGUAAGGUGACAGUGUUUUCCUCAGGGGAGCCUGAGCUGAAGCUAGACUGUGCUGGGAAAUUUGUUCCGUAUUCUUUCUGUCCUUCAAGAAUUGGCUUUUCUAGAGUCUCAUUCCUGGUUCUCUUGUUUCCUUCCAAAGGUCAAGAAUCAAUGGGGAGCUUUCAGAAAUACAUACUGAGGGGAGCCCCAGGCUUGUUUGUUUUUAUUAAGUACCAGGGGUGACUCUGAUGCUGCAGGGCCGUGCCAUCUAUUGAAAUGUGGAGCUGUGCUUGACCUUAGAAAUUUCUUAGAAUUUGACCUACCACCAAAGGAAGGGAUCUCAACUUCUGUAUUUGUUGUCUGCUUUCGAGUAUUAGAAUUGGACAGACAGAGUUUUUUUGCACCUGUGAUUAAGACACUGCUCACAGGGUUGUCUUUUAUUCCUGGAUCAUUGUCUAGAUGACACUUCCCCUUUUACUUUGAAGCUAGUUGUAGCUUUCUCUGUGUUGCACAGCCUGCUCAGCAGAACAUUUCCUCUAACUGAGCUGGGGACAAUGGCAUGAUUCUGAGGUGUAGUAAAAACUAACUUUGCAAUCAAGCAACGUUUUGUAUGACCCAGGUUGACAGUUUUUUACCUAGAGCAAGGUCUUUCCACCUGGGCACUGUUGACAUUCGGGACCAGACAUUUCUUUGUUGGGCAGGCUUGAGGGGCUCCCCCUGCAUUGCGAGUUACUUAGCAGUAUCUUUGGCUCCACUUAGUAGGUGCCAGUAACACCCCCCACACAUGGCCAUUGACAACCACAGAUGCCUCCAGUUGAGGACGCCUAACCUAGAGAAUGGCUCCACACAAAUACUCAUCUUUAUUCCACAUCUUCUCCAAGCCUCUGUUUUCCCAUGGAUCCCUCUCAAGUACCUUUGAAUUAACAACUCUUGUGUGCUUCUUGCUCUGGUCUCUCUCCCUCAGAUACUCUGCCUUCCCUCUGUAGUCUUUGGGUCAUUAAAACUGGUCUGAUGUGUGACUCGGCUAUGUCUUCUCUAGCUCUGGUUGCCGGACAGCUCUGGUGCCUGGAAGGCUAGCUGGGCCUGGAGCACUGCCCAGAGCCCCUCUUUUCCCCUGGUCACCUCUCCCUUCUCCUCACGCAGCACAUCCAGGGGUAUCUAUUCUCCUUAAACAUCUUCACUCAUCCCUUUAUUCCUCACUCUCAUCAGAUAACUUCACCAUUAUCUUCACAGAAACCAAUGGCUGUUAGUUGAAAUUCUCCUGGCUUACUGAUCCUAAGCCUUCACGCGUACCUGCCUCCACACCCUCCCUUGCAACCUUGCCUCCCGUCAGGACAGAGGACUACCUCCUUGGUUCUAAUGUGCUUUUUCAACCUGGGCCUCUGUGUGCCAACACCUUCCCAUCCUUGAGACCUAGCUCUAUUGACUGUUUGCUCCCUCCAGUUCUUGUUCUUUCUGUCUCUGCCCACCAGCAUUUCAUCAUGCUCAAGCAUUUCCUCUCCAGUUUGUAUAACUCGCUUUCAAACCCAACUCUGAAGCUGUGCCACCCUACAGCUUCUCCCUUUUACAGCCAGAUUCUGAAAAUCAGCUGCACUCACUGUCUCUUCCCAAGUAAGGCAGGAAGAAAGUACAGAUGCCUUUAUGUCUGUUUGUCCUUCCUUUUAACAUACCUACCCCAAGACUGAACUAAAACUUCCCACAGAGAGCAAACCUCUCGUGGAUUGCUGCUUCUUGCUGCAUGGCCUUUACUCCUUACCUUUGUCACGUUAAUUUCCUGAGGACAGAUGGCAGUCAGCACCACACUGGGACCUCCUCCUCGUGUCAGCUGAUCAGUCAGCCGUCCUCUGGAUGUUAGCCAACACAUCUUAGAAACUGGAAAACUGACGCCCUGUUUUGCACCUCUUCUAUUUAAAGGUUCUUGCACGGCACCAAGAGGCUGCAGAGCUGUGAAAACAACUCGCCUUCAAUGUAGACGCCUCACCCCACCCCCAGCCAUUGUUCUGAUCACUCUAGCUUACAGUGCAUUGGGAAGUAGGAGAGUGGGAAGGCAUUGUGUUUUAAUGUUACUGGUUUUGUUCCCUUUUCUGUUCUAUACUUCCACAUAUCCCAAAGUAUUUCUGUAUCCCAGAGUAUCUCUAAUAGGAAUAAAGGACUUUUCUGAAGCUCUGA